UGAGGCAUCCUAAUUAGAAUUUUAGCUGAGCCUGAGCAGGGAGAAGAAGCAUUAAUGAUAGUUUGUUCUACAGUAGUAAGGCACUAAAGAUAAUCCUCUUCCCUGGACAUCUGUCGAAGCCGGGCAGAUUCACGCCCAUCUGAGAUGGUGUAGGAGGAACAUAAUGGACAGAGCAUAGCUCCCAUCUUCACCCAGGCGGUGCCCUCUUUCCUACUCAGGUGAUGUUGAUGGAGAACAUUUUUGCCAAGAGUAUUUGUAGCCCUGUCGAUGCCUCCUGGAAAGUACGAUUAGUUUAUCAGAUCACCCAGUUCUCCAACUGAGCUCUGAGGAAAUGGGGCACAAAGUGGGUACUUGGAAGAAUGUGAAAGACCUGGACCAUGCAUCGCUGUUGGGCAUACUGAAGAGUCCUGCAAGAGCUGUCAAAGAUUGGGACUCAGAAACCAGGACCUAGGAUGAUGUAUGGGGAGGUUGCUGAAAGAGAGGAAGGUUGGGGAAAGAGGGCUGGAGGAAGUGGUAAGACAACCUUUGCUCACAUGUCAAUUUGCCUAGGGCCAACUGUAGGCCAGAAGCAGGUGUACUAUGGGAAAGAGGCAUUCUAAGGCCUCUGCUUUAUCUGUGGUAACUGUCCCCCAGCUGGGGAAUGAAUCCAUCCUCUCUAAUCAUAGCACAAAUCUCCCCAGCGGCCAACCACCAGUGUUGAUUUUAGAUAAACACCAACCACUUUCUCUUAAUGGAAAGGAAAUGUUUAUACAAGAAUCUGCCCUAGUCACAGGUCCCAUCAAAUCUGUGGUGAGGUGGUUAGGCAGCCAGAGAGAGGAAAUACCAGCAAAGAGCUUACUUACCUUCCCAGGCUGCGAUAAGGAAAGGAUUGAGAAGCUGCCUGGCUCUUACUACAAUUUUCUUUCAAGGCGAUACUUUAUAAAAAAUACCCAACUUCUCCCUCAAUGUAAUUUCUGAGGCUGGGCUAGAUUUGAGUUGAGAAAUACAGCUGAAUCUUACUGAUUCAGACCAUUUGAGAGGCAGAUCAGUGAGGAUGAAUGGAAAGUCUAAAUUAUUGCAUAUUCUUUCAAGAAAUGAAGCUUCAUUACUUAAGUAUUUUUGUUGCUAUUCUGAACUGACAAAGACCAAAUAAAAUACACUUUUCCAUAAGCAAAGUGGAACAAAGAGGAUUAUAUAUGAAUCUGUGAAUCUCUUUUAAAUUGAACUUGCUUUUAUUUUAAAGUCUAUGUAAUAACUUCAACAUAAAAACUUUCAAAGUUC